GACGAACGCUGGCGGCGUGCCUAAUACAUGCAAGUCGAGCGAAUGGAAGGGAGCUUGCUCCCUGAAGUUAGCGGCGGACGGGUGAGUAACACGUGGGCAACCUGCCUGUAAGACUGGGAUAACUUCGGGAAACCGGAGCUAAUACCGGAUACGUUCUUUCCUCGCAUGAGGAAAGAUGGAAAGAUGGUUUCGGCUAUCACUUACAGAUGGGCCCGCGGCGCAUUAGCUAGUUGGUGGGGUAACGGCCCACCAAGGCGACGAUGCGUAGCCGACCUGAGAGGGUGAUCGGCCACACUGGGACUGAGACACGGUCCAGACUCCUACGGGAGGCAGCCGUAGGGAAUCUUCCGCAAUGGACGAAAGUCUGACGGAGCAACGCCGCGUGAGCGAAGAAGGCCUUCGGGUCGUAAAGCUCUGUUGUCAGGGAAGAACAAGUGCCAGAGUAACUGCUGGCACCUUGACGGUACCUGACCAGAAAGCCACGGCUAACUACGUGCCAGCCGCCGCAGUAA
rnacentral:rRNA from 1 species